CCUACGGGAGGCAGCAGUGAGGAAUAUUGGUCAAUGGCCGGAAGGCUGAACCAGCCAAGUCGCGUGAAGGACGAAUGUGCUACGCAUUGUAAACUUCUUUUGUCAAGGGAUAAAAUCAGGCACGUGAGCCUUAUCGUGUGUACUUUAUGAAUAAGCAUCGGCUAACUCCGUGCCAGCAGCCGCGGUAAUACGGAGGAUCCGAGCGUUAUCCGGAUUUAUUGGGUUUAAAGGGUCCGUAGGGGGAUUGUUAAGUCAGUGGUAAAAGGCCGGGGCUCAACCCAAGCGAGCCGUUGAAACUGGCAGUCUUGAGAUGACGAGAGGUAGGCGGAAUGCGCGGUGUAGCGGUGAAAUGCUUAGAUAUUGCGAAGAACUCCGAUUGCGAAGGCAGCAUACCAAAGGGGAUCUGACACUGAGGCACGAAAGCGUGGGUAUCGAACAGGAUUAGAUACCCCUGUAGUC
rnacentral:rRNA from 1 species